rnacentral:rRNA from 3 species
AUCUGGGCGGCGGAAUUCAGGAUGGCGGGCGCGUCUUCGCGGCGCGUUCGUCGUUUGAUAUUUCCGUCGCCGACUCAACCCGCAGACGUCGCGACCUGUUCGCGGUCGGUCCUUGCUCGGAGGAGUCGCGUUCGAGUUUGUUGCGUGCGCGUUUCUGCGCGUCACGCGGCAAAGACGCGAAUCUCUGGCUGGCCGUCGGACAGUACGUUCAAACGGUGUCCGGUGUCGUCGUCUCGUACGCGCGCGCACCGGUACCGGUCGGCGACGAAUUCUUCGGGCCUCUUUCCGACCCGUCUUGAAACACGGACCAAGGAGUCUAACAUGCGCGCGAGUCGCGGGGUGUCGAGCGUACCACGGUGCGUUCGUUACGUUGCGAAACCCGUACAUGUCGAAGGCGUAAUGAAAGUGAAUGGGGAAGAUGGUGUUCCGAGUACACGUUCCGCGGUCAUCGGUACCGCGGCCGGACACCCGCAUUCCCGGGGCGUCUCAACGGCCCGUCGCGGAUGCGGACAGUCGUCUUUCGGGGCGGCUGUCGGUCUGCGACGAACCGA